UCAUAUUUUACAAGCGUGUUAGCGAAAAUAUUGCAUCUGAUGUCAACACUAUGAGAAAUAUUUCCAUUUAAGACUGAUUAAGAAACAAACAAACAUUCCUUAUACCGUAACACAUAAUUAGAUAAGAGUCUAAAGAGACUUUAAAACCUAAUCUAUCAUGUGACAUAACAAUGUAAUAAAAAUGUCAUAUUAUAGCUCAUCUAACACCAGUCCGAAUUGCAAUGGAUCCGUCCAAUUAAGCGCAUCAGGUCAUAAAUCCCCCGCUGUCACGACGUAGUGACCUUAAAUUGGAUUAGUGCGAGAGAACAUACAGGCUCUGAUUAAGGACUUUAUUCAGGUAUGUCGGUUCAUAAAGACGCCUGAUGUCGGGACGGUGAAGGCACGUCUACAAGAUAAUGUGGUGUAAACAGAUGGUAAACGUAAUUUCCGGACACAGAUGCGACUUGCAAGGGUCAAAAUCUUUAUAUUAUGAUCUCUAUGUGCAUGCGAAUAUCUUCAGCCGACUUGUAAAAUGUCCAGACAGCUCCAACUGCUACCUAAGAUGAUAAGACGGACGAUAAAGGAAUGAAGGGUAUGUCUGCUUCACUACGAUUGACAAAACUUGCACAUCUACUUUCAAGCUGGUGAAAGCACGACUUCAAGAUGUAAACUAAAAAAGAAGAUGGUAAUUUCCGGCCACAAGUGUCAAAAUCUUAAAAUUAGGGUCGAAGAGAAAUAUACGUCUCCUUGCGGUAAACAGAAUACAGCACGGCAUUAUGCUUCAUAUACGUGUUAUUCAAAAGACAAUAACAGUUUAAAGCCAAAGGAACCCAAUCUAACAAAUUGUGUCAGUCUUUGGACAUUGGAAAUCCUCCCCUUUGCUGAUGAAAUACCAUCUAUCAUUUAAUGGAUAUUUAACUAGAACAGAACGGAACAGAACAGAACAGAACGGACCAGAACAGAACUCUCAGUCAGCAUUUACAUCUCUGUAAACGGCAUCGAUAUUGCCAUUUAAUUUAUCAUAUAUUUAUCGAUUUAUAACUGGUAUUCUGCGGACUCCGUAAUUGAUACAUUGCCAUUUUCUUGACAAAAUAUUGAUAAAUCAGUUGAUAGACCGAUACCGAAUUUGGAUUUUGCUGUUAUCCGAAUUCAGAAAGCAGCAUAAUACAAUAAGUACAAUGAUUAUCAAGAUUUAUAAAAAAUGUUUCACCUAGAGUUAUUUUGACAUAGGAAAUUCUACACGUCUGACAAACCGGAAGUAAAGGCAUGACGUCAUUUAACCGGAAAUAUAACACAAAACCUGGACUCGGCAUAUGGAUUAUCCUUUUCGUUUGCCUAAUUUUCUUAAAAUAUCUAUGGGUUUG
rnacentral:lncRNA from 1 species